AUUGAACGCUGGCGGCAGGCCUAACACAUGCAAGUCGAGCGGAGCGGCGGACGGGUGAGUAAUGCCUAGGAAUCUGCCUGGUCGUGGGGGAUAACGUCCGGAAACGGGCGCUAAUACCGCAUACUAUCAGAUGAGCCUAGGUCGGAUUAGCUAGUUGGUGGGGUAAAGGCCUACCAGGGCGACGAGCCGUAACUGGUCGGAGAGGAGGAUCAGUCACACUGUAACUGGGACACGGUCCAGACGCCUACGGGAGGCAGCAGUGGGGAAUAUUGGACAAUGGGCGAAAGCCUGAUCCAGCCAUGCCGCGUGUGUGAAAAAGGUCUUCGGAUUGUAAAGCCCUUUAAGUUGGGAGGCGUUACCAACAGAAUAAGCACCGGCUAACUUCGUGCCAGCAGCCGCGGUAAUAC
rnacentral:rRNA from 1 species